rnacentral:rRNA from 1 species
ACGAACGCUGGCGGCUUCUUCACACAUGCCAGUCGAACGGAGUGGCGAACGGGUGAGUAACGCGUGAGCAACCUGCCUAUGACAGUGGGAUAGCCUCGGGAAACCGGGAUUAAUACCGCAUAGUCAUAGAUGGGCUCGCGUCUGAUUAGCUCGUUUGUGAGAUAACAGCUCACCAAGGCGACGAUCAGUAGCCGGUCUGAGAGGAUGAACGGCCACAUUGGAACUGCGACACGGUCCAAACUCCUACGGGAGGCAGCAGUGGGGAAUAUUGCACAAUGGGGGAAACCCUGAUGCAGCGACGCCGCGUGAACGAAGAAGGUAUUCGUAUCGUAAAGUUCUGUCCUAUGGGAAGCAGUACCAUAGAAGAAAGCUCCGGCUAAAUACGGGACAGCAGCCGCGGUAAUAC